rnacentral:Y_RNA from 1 species
GGCUGGUCCAAAGGUAGUGAGUUAUCUCACUUGAUUGUUCACAGUCAGUUACAGAUUGAACUCCUUGUUCUACUCUUUCCCCCCUUCUCACUACUGCACUUGACUAAUAA